GUCGGGAUAGCUCAKUUGGUAGAGCAGAGGACUGAAAAUCU
rnacentral:tRNA from 1 species